UACGAAGGGGGCUAGCGUUGCUCGGAAUUACUGGGCGUAAAGCGCACGUAGGCGGCUUUCUAAGUCGGGGGUGAAAUCCUGGAGCUCAACUCCAGAACUGCCUUCGAUACUGGAGAGCUCGAGUCCGGGAGAGGUGAGUGGAACUACGAGUGUAGAGGUGAAAUUCGUAGAUAUUCGCAAGAACACCAGUGGCGAAGGCGGCUCACUGGCCCGGUACUGACGCUGAGGUGCGAAAGCGUGGGGAGCAAACAGG
rnacentral:rRNA from 1 species